rnacentral:rRNA from 1 species
AGUCACUGACGAGUUUGAUCAUGGCUCAGACGAACGCUGGCGGCAUGCCUAACACAUGCAAGUCGAACGAGAUCUUCGGAUCUAGUGGCGCACGGGUGCGUAACGCGUGGGAAUCUGCCCUUUGCUUCGGAAUAACAGUUAGAAAUGACUGCUAAUACCGGAUGAUGUCUUCGGACCAAAGAUUUAUCGGCAAAGGAUGAGCCCGCGUAGGAUUAGGUAGUUGGUGGGGUAAAGGCCUACCAAGCCGGCGAUCCUUAGCUGGUCUGAGAGGAUGAUCAGCCACACUGGGACUGAGACACGGCCCAGACUCCUACGGGAGGCAGCAGUGGGGAAUAUUGGACAAUGGGCGAAAGCCUGAUCCAGCAAUGCCGCGUGAGUGAUGAAGGCCUUCGGGUCGUAAAGCUCUUUUACCAGGGAUGAUAAUGACAGUACCUGGAGAAUAAGCUCCGGCUAACUCCGUG